AAUUAUUUAGUUUAAUGAAAACAAAUGUUUUGAAAACAUUAGAUAAGAAUAUAUUCUUAAUAAUUA
rnacentral:tRNA from 1 species